rnacentral:tRNA from 1 species
UAAAAAUUAGUUAAAAUAUAAUAUUAAAUUGUCAAUUUAAAGUUAUUUAAAAUAAAUAUUUUUAA